rnacentral:misc_RNA from 1 species
GAUGAAGAACGCAGCAAAAUGCGAUACUUGGUGUGAAUUGCAGAAUCCCGUGAACCAUCGAGUUUUUGAACGCAAGUUGCGCCCGAAGCCUUUUGGCCGAGGGCACGUCUGCCUGGGCGUCACGCAUCGCGUCGCCCCCCACAAUUCUCCGUAAAGGGAACGUGUGUUUUGGGGGCGGAUAUUGGUCUCCCGUGCUCAUGGCGUGGUUGGCCGAAAUAGGAGUCCUUUCGAUGGACGCACGAACUAGUGGUGGUCGUAAAAACCCUCGUCUUUUGUUUCGUGCUGUUGCUCGCAAGGUAACUCUUUAAAAACCCCAAUGUGUCGUCUCUUGACGACGCUUCGACCGCGACCCCAGGUCAGGCGGGACUACCCGCUGAGUUUAAGCAUAUCAAUAAGCGGAGGA